ensembl:lncRNA
CCCCGCCUCCCCCGGUGGCGGCCACCUUCGCGGAGGCGGUAGGGGUGGGGGCGGGAACUGUAGUGCGCCUGCGCCUGUCAAAGGCUCUUCGGAAACUACGUCUCGCGUAUAAUACAGUCACAAGGCUGUACCCAGGAAUGGAAUCCAUUGCAGGAGAAUGUUGGGCAGAAUGUAAACUACUGGAUGGACCAUGGGUGUUAUCUACAUAUGACAACUUUUUGCAUACUCAUUUAUAUUUCCUAUCUGGGAAAUGAAGCCAGAAUCCACAGAUGUCCUUAUCCAUCUGCACACUUUUGUUUACUACCCAGAAGUGAAAUAAAUACAUGGACAGAAAAUUCCAAGCAUUGCUUCCAUGGAAGGGAUUGCAAAGGAGAUGAUGGUGGUGUUUGAACACUGGAAACCAAAUAUCAACCGAGGAUCAAAAGCAGCGGUGAUGUCUUUGCAUGAGAUGCAGCUGAACUUCGAUGCUCCCACGAUCCGUUUCACAGUUUAUAAUCACAGUUAUCACAGAACCAUUAAAAGCC